ACACGCAUGACACACUGCAUAUCAAUAAGCGGAGGAAAAGAAACUAACAAGGAUUCCCUUAGUAACGGCGAGUGAAGCGGGAAGAGCUCAAAUUUGAAAUCUUCAAGGUUCUACCUUGACGAAUUGUAGUUUAUAGAAGUGUUUUCUGUUAGUGGAGUGGCAAAAGUUCUUUGGAAUAGGACAUCAUAGAGGGUGAGAAUCCCGUAUUUGGUCAUUCCUCCUAGCGUUGUGAUACACUUUCAACGAGUCGGAUUGUUUGGGAAUGCAGUCCAAAAUGGGUGGUAAAUUUCAUCUAAAGCUAAAUAUUGGCGAGAGACCGAUAGCGAACAAGUACCGUGAGGGAAAGAUGAAAAGAACUUUGAAAAGAGAGUUAAACAGUACGUGAAAUUGUCAAAAGGGAAGCGUUUGACACCAGUGUUGUUUUUCCGAAAAUCAAUUACGAAUGUUUUAUUUUUGAGGAGUUAUGACUUCAUCGGCUUGCUCCUUUCUUUAUGAAACUUUCUUAAUGCACUUUUCGGUUAACAAGUCAACAUCAAUUUCUUUUGUUGUAAAAGGUUAUGAGGAAGGUGGCUUUCUUUUCGGAGAAAGUGUUUAUAGCCUUGUACCUCUGCAAUCGGAGAGAUUGAGGUACAUGCAGCGUAGACUCCUUCUGGGGUUAGAUACACUUGUGCUAAGCUAUAGCCUUGUAUAGACAACUUGUUGACUAUGCUCAGUCAUGUAGCUUACUCGCUUAGUGCUAUUUUACCUACGCUUAGGAUGUUGACUGAUAUGUAGUCGUA
rnacentral:rRNA from 1 species